AAAAUUAAUAUGAGGAAAUGGGGAAAUGGGUACGGGAUGGGGAUUCCACCUCCCUUCCCCGAAUAAAAACUUGGGUAAAACAUUGUCCCCGUCCCUUCCCCGAAUAAGAAAUUGGGUAUAAAAUUAUCCUCAUACCCUCCCCGAAUAGGGAAAAUCCUCAAGGGUCCCUGUCCUCGUGGGAAUUUUUGUCAUCCCUAAUUGAUUCCCAUGGAGGGAGGUGGGAAUGAGUAUCUCAUUUCUAGGAUUGACUAUUUUGCCCUCCCCAAAAUUGAAAAUGCCAC
rnacentral:lncRNA from 1 species